rnacentral:lncRNA from 1 species
GUGUACGUCUUGGCCAUCAGGAAGAGCUCGUCCGUGGCGUCGCCGCCGCGAGUCAGCCCGCCGAUGGACUUGAGCUGAUACGUGGCAUGCUUCUCGAGGUCACCGGAGAGGUCAGUGUAGGCGGUGGCGCCCGACUCAAGCUUCCAGAGCUUCGCGGGGCUGACCUCCUGCACGGCAUAGUAGGUGGUGCCAAUCUUGGUGACGCCCUCGAAUCCGAGGUUGGACGCCGCCUUCGGGGUGAUACCUUGGACGAGAGUCGUGGCGCCGGAGUAGGUGCCGUCGGUGUUGAGGGUAACCUCGGUGAUCUUGACUGGGUUCUCGUCGGUGAUGGCGAACUUUCGGCCGCCCAGCGCAGAGAUACCCUCGAGGUCGAGGGUGAGGGCCUUGACGUCCCACUUUUGUAUGAGCUUGUUCGGAUACUCGAUCUCGUAGAUCAUGCGAUCGCCGUUGUUCACGGCGAAGAGGG